UCGAGAAUAAUUCACAAUGGACGAAAGUCUGAUGGUGCAACGCCGCGUGGAGGAUGAAGGUCUUCGGAUUGUAAACUCCUGCCAUCGGGGAGUAAGACCUGGGCGUGAAUAGCGCACAGGGUUGAUAGUACCCGAAGAGGAAGGGACGGCUAACUUCGUGCCAGCAGCCGCGGUAAUACGAAGGUCCCAAGCGUUGUUCGGAAUCACUGGGCGUAAAGGGAGCGUAGGCGGCGUGGUAAGUCAGAUGUGAAAUCCCGGGGCUCAACCCCGGAACUGCAUCCGAUACUGCCAUGCUUGAGGGUUGGAGAGGUAGCUGGAAUUCUCGGUGUAGCAGUGAAAUGCGUGGAUAUCGAGAGGAACACUCGUGGCGAAGGCGAGCUACUGGACAACAUCUGACGCUGAGGCUCGAAGGCCAGGGGAGCAAA
rnacentral:rRNA from 1 species